rnacentral:rRNA from 1 species
UAGGUGACCUGCGGAAGGUCAUUAUCGUACAACAAGAGGCGUUCGGGGCUGUCGCUGACCCUUCAAGGUCGUGCACGCCUCUAUCGUUCUCGUUUACACAUCCACCUCACCCUUUGUGCAUCACCGCGUGGGCCCACCCUAAAAAGGUGUGGCCUGCGUUAUUUUUCACACAAACCUUUGUCGUAGUGAAUGUCUUUACUUUUGCGAUUCGCAAUCAGUACAACUUUCAACAACGGAUCUCUUGGCUCUCGCAUCGAUGAAGAACGCAGCGAAAUGCGAUACGUAAUGUGAAUUGCAGAAUUCAGUGAAUCAUCGAAUCUUUGAACGCACCUUGCACCCCUUGGCAUUCCGAGGGGUACACCCGUUUGAGUGUCGUGAAAUUCUCAACCUCCCCAAUUUCUUGGGGGAAGGCUUGGACUUUGGAGGCUUUUGCUGGUCUCUCUCUCUUUUGAAGCCAGCUCCUCUUAAAUGAAUUAGUGGGGUCCCUCUUCGCCGGUCCCUCGACGUGAUAAGAUUUCUCUACGUCCGAGGUUUGGCUUCGUAGGCUCGCUUCUAAUCAUCUUUUUUUGAACCCUUUGACCUCAAAUCGGGUGAGACUACCCGCUGAACUUAAGC